rnacentral:tRNA from 1 species
UAGCUCAGUGGUAGAGCACUUGCCUUGCAUGCAUGAGGCCCUGGGUUCGACCCAA